GAUGAACGCUGGCGGCGUGCCUAAUACAUGCAAGUCGAGCGAACAGACGAGGAGCUUGCUCCUCUGACGUUAGCGGCGGACGGGUGAGUAACACGUGGAUAACCUACCUAUAAGACUGGGAUAACUUCGGGAAACCGGAGCUAAUACCGGAUAAUAUAUUGAACCGCAUGGUUCAAUAGAGAAUGACGGUUUUGCUGUCACUUAUAGAUGGAUCCGCGCCGCAUUAGCUAGUUGGUAAGGUAACGGCUUACCAAGGCAACGAUGCGUAGCCGACCUGAGAGGGUGAUCGGCCACACUGGAACUGAGACACGGUCCAGACUCCUACGGGAGGCAGCAGUAGGGAAUCUUGCGCAAUGGGCGAAAGCCUGACGGAGCAACGCCGCGUGAGUGAUGAAGGUCUUCGGAUCGUAAAACUCUGUUAUUGGGGAAGAACAAAUGUGUAAGUAACUAUGCACGUCUUGACGGUACCUAAUCAGAAAGCCACGGCUAACUACGUG
rnacentral:rRNA from 1 species